rnacentral:lncRNA from 1 species
AGCUACUACCACUAAAUCCUACUCCCGGUAUCGACGGACACAACUCAACAAGAGGCCAAGCGAACCUGACAGCACCAUCUUCUCCAUCACCUCUUCUUGAACCCAUACUUCUUGCGCUCGUAGGACAGAUAAGUCUUGGCGCUACCGAGGUUGAUGAUCUUGGGGCACUAAAUCCUACUCCCGGUAUCGAUGGACACAACUCAACAAGAGGCCAAACGAACCUGACAGCACCAUCUUCUCCAUCACCUCUUCUUGAACCCAUACUUCUUGCGCUCGUAGAACAGAUCAGUCUUGGCGCUACCGAGGUUGACGAUCUUGGGGCAACCAUCCCGGUCCUUCUCCUGCUGGGUGCACUCCUUGCAGUAGUAGGCGUCCGAGAUGCCCACACCACCGCAGAUAACACACCGCCCCUGGAAUGACCCAUAGUUGCACUCGUCGCAGACGCGGACCAGCG